rnacentral:rRNA from 1 species
UACGAAGGGGGCUAGCGUUGCUCGGAAUCAUUGGGCGUAAAGAGCGUGUAGGCGGCUUGUUAAGUCUUGCGUGAAAUCUCGGGGCUCAACCCCGAGCGGUCGUGAGAAACUGGCAGGCUAGAGUGCGGGAGAGGAGAGUGGAAUUCCUGGUGUAGCGGUGAAAUGCGCAGAUAUCAGGAAGAACACCCGUGGCGAAGGCGGCUCUCUGGAACGCAACUGACGCUGAGACGCGAAAAGCGUGGGGGAGCAAACAGG